CCGGAACAAGCGGUCCAGCACCAGCUGGUCUUCCCUCCGCUCCUCUCGCUCUCGCAUGCGUUCUACAGCGCCGUCGCUGUGAUCACUCUUGUGGUCUGGCCUCAAGACCUCUGUGGAACGCGCAGCUCAAGAAUGUUGGCCACCGGUUGGUCCACACCUAGCUAUUCUCAAGUACCCUGGUAAGUGGUUGUCGAACUGAGCUGCUGGUGGCUGCUGCUUUUAUUCUCUCUCUGCCGUUUCUCUCUCUGCCGUUUGGGAUGUUAUCUUUUCUGGUUCUGUAAGGGCAUUUUUUCAGGUCUGAUUGCUGGUUGUCUAAAUUUGUACUUCCUCUGCUACUCUUCGUUGGGCAUUGAUGCGUCGAAACAGUAGUAUAUUGAGCGCAAUGACGGACUCAUCCAGUGUUUGCUCGAAUUUUAAAUAUCACUUCUUUACCAGAGUACUCAUAUUAUUUAGCAGCUAUAUUUUAUAUGUCAGGAUAAUUAUCUAUUAUAAGGAUUGUUUCUGCCCUGUAGAAGUUUUUCCAUAUUAUAUAAUCUUUGUUUCGAUGAUUCAGUUGGCAUGAACAAGAUUAUCAUAUAGAUAAAGGUUUUAUAUUGCACAAUAAUCAAGUUCUCCUUAGAGGUGUGUCAUCCCGGCCUUCUCUUAAAAAAUAUUUAAUGAAGCUUCAUUUUGAGGGUCCAACGGUCAACCAAAGCAAAAUAGAGAGAAAUUCAGAAACAUUGUAGUUGACUACAUUUUUUCCCUACAUGUUAAUUGCAUCCCUUUAAUUCUUUGCCCUUCUAGCUGCACUAUGGAUUCGUAUCCUUGAAUACAAUUGCUAAGGAACAUUUAAACUUCUGAAUUGCUUUAAGGUGCUGUUAGGUUUGGUCAUUUCUCAGCUUGCUUUUUCAGUGUAGCCACUCACUUAACAAUGCGCAUGGAAAUAUUUCUUUUUUCUAGGAUCCGUUCUCAUAACAUCUGAAUAUCUGAGUAAUUUGAGAAGCUUGAACAUGUAUCUUCCUUUCUCAUUAUCUUCCAGUUUGUAUUGUAUAUGACCUGAAUUACUUACAGAGAAUAUGGAUUAUGCUAAAUUUUACUACAGGGUUCAUAAAUAGAUUUGUGGGUUCCUUUGAUGUAUAGAUCACUGAUUUUUAUGUUCUUCCUUGAUAAACAGGUUACAAUGGUAUUUCCAUGUGUUUUCUAGACAACGUGUUCUCAGAGUAGUUCAUAUAUCUAUGACAUCCACUCAUGUGUUGGGAAAACAUUCAAGUCAAGUACGUACUUCAGUGACUUGCUUCAAACGCCGAAUACAUGCAUUUACCUUCAUUCCAGGAAGCAUGAAGAGGAGAAACACUCUGCAAAUGGAAGCAAUCUGUGCGCACAGCCCACAAGAACGAAUCAAUGGAAAACUAGAAGCAUGGUUAUUAGUUUCAAAAGAAUAUUUGAAUGACAUUUCAUGGAGAGCACUGCUCGGAUAGCUCACUUCAGUGUGCCAUAGAGAUAAUAUCUUCUCCGCUGUUGGCACCCACGAUGAGCCAGGGCCCUCCUCCAGCAGAGCACGAGCCACACCAGCCCCAGCCUUCAUGUCAAGAUCCAAGAAGUCAUUGUUCUAUCAUCCGGCAAUAAGGACGAUGACAACUUGCGCUAAAGAACUAUUCAAAGGAAACAAGGCAGUUAUGGUUGCUGCUUUUACUUAUCGAACUUAGUAGAAUCCGAAGUCAAGUACUCAAGUCCCUAUUGUACCCGCUAUUUCUGAAAAUAAUUCCCAUUAUACAGAACAAUAGUCCACUCACUUCUAA